rnacentral:tRNA from 1 species
UUAGUUAAAGCCAAAAAGAGGCCUCUUAUUGUUAAUAAGAAAAAUGAUUCAUAUCUAACUAAA